rnacentral:rRNA from 1 species
CUACGGGCUGCUGCAGUGAGGAAUAUUGCACAAUGGGGGGAACCCUGAUGCAGCAACGCCGCGUGGAGGAUGACGCAUUUCGGCGUGUAAACUCCUUUUAUAUGUCAAGAAAAUGACGGUAGCAUAUGAAUAAGCACCGGCUAACUCCGUGCCAGCAGCCGCGGUAAUACGGAGGGUGCAAGCGUUACUCGGAAUCACUGGGCGUAAAGGACGCGUAGGCGGGUUGGAAAGUCAGGUGUGAAAUCCUACAGCUUAACUGUAGAACUGCACUUGAAACUUCUAAUCUAGAGUAUGGGAGGGGGGGAUGGAAUUAGUGGUGUAGGGGUAAAAUCCGUAGAUAUCACUAGGAAUACCUAAAGCGAAGGCGAUCUCCUGGAACAUUACUGACGCUAAGGCGUGAAAGCGUGGGGAGCAAACAGGAUUAGAUACCCCAGUAGUC